rnacentral:rRNA from 1 species
CCCUUAGAUGUUCUGGGCCGCACGCGCGCUACACUGAUGCAUUCAACGAGUCUAAAACCUGCUCUGAUAGGGGUGGGUAAUCUUUUGAAUGUGCAUCGUGAUUGGGAUAGAUGAUUGCAAUUUUUCAUCUUCAACGAGGAAUGCCUAGUAAACGCAAGUCAUCAGCUUGCAUUGAUUACGUCCCUGCCCUUUGUACACACCGCCCGUCGCUCCCACCGAUUGAAUGAUCCGAUGAAUAUCAUAGACUGAGAGUAUAAGCAGGUUCGCCUGUCUUUGCUUCUCGGGAAGUGAAGUAAAUCUUAUCAUUUAGAGGAAGGAGAAGUCGUAACA